rnacentral:misc_RNA from 1 species
UCUACGAUUGAUAAAACGAAAGUUAUUUUCCUGGUUCACGUGAUUAGGCACCUGAAAACCUGCCGUCUUGGCCUAAUCACAUUAUGAUUGAACUUAAACAUUCAUUCAAUUUACUGGUAUCAAUUAACGCAUAUUUAGCUAAAAGAAGAGAAGAAUUGGGACGAUCUGAUACUGGUACCUUGAAGCCUCGAGUUCUGACACAAGAAAAGGACGGGAUAGUAAUCUACACCUGGAAUGACCUGGUUGUUUCUCAGUCCAAGCCUGACAGUAGUAAUCCUGUAACUCACAUUGGACUUUAUGAUCCCACCUCACAGCAACAUAAGGUUGUGUGGACGUACGAUACCAAAGUGAAGAUUGUGUCAUGUUCUAUUAAUCAGAACAAAACAUUGCUAGCUUUUACAACUGUAACUAUACAAAAAACAGAUGAUGGAAAAUCAGGAAAAGACUUGUUCCAGGCCUACCUGGUUGAGCUCCAGGCCUCAGACUCGCGAGUGUUCUCACUCAAUUUGGAGAAGUCAUGUUUCCUCAAGGUCCAGUUUUUGUACCCGGGCCAUGGCGAGCAGAUGUUGUUAAAAGAAGCCUUUCUGCUCGUCUUUCUCCACAAAGAAUCUGUUGCAUUGUAUAGCAUUCAGUUAUCACGGUUUGGAGACAAGGGAAUAUACAUGCGAGACCAGCCAAAGACAGAACAGAUCAUUCAGAAGUUUGUGUGGUGUCAGUGGGACCCACAGAACCAGCAGUUGCAUUACAUCUACAAUUGUCGCCAUGACAACGGCACAGUGUAUCAGAAGUUCAGCAGCAUACAGUUCUAUCAAAAUGCGAAAAAUGACAGCAUGAUGGACCUUCCAUUGAACUUUCCAUUUCCUCACAUCAGAUCUAAAUUCAAGUCCCGCUAUGCUGACAGACCUUUGUGUCCUGGCAUCCCAGAUGUCGCUGUCAAUGCUACUGUCUUGACUCAGCCAAAUGGGACUAUUUGCAUCUGUUAUAAACAUCACAAGUCACAGAGCAACCCUGCUGAAUAUAGAAGUGACAGUCAGACACAUCAUGAUGAAGAGUCUAUAAACUAUUACAUAUGUAUGGUUCAUCAUGCAAAAACCAUUCAAGGUUGUGUGUCUGGCUUGUCACAGAGUAUCCUGGGAUCUAGAAGAUUGUCAUUUCAUUGGUUGGGAGACUAUUUGAUGGUUCUUCUUCCUGGAUUCUUCGUUCACCUGUUGAAUGUCAGUAUUGAGUAUGAACCGUGUCAUCACAUCAUGUUGCAUAAUGAGAACAAGCCAUUGAAAAGUAAAGUAACUCUGUCUCCAGCAGCCCAGAGUUGUGGCCCAUUGCCAGUCAGCUUCACGUCUGAUGUGGAGGAAAAGGAUCACAAACCAGCAACAGUCAGGUUCCAAGAAUCUGAAGAACAUACACUGUGUACAUCACCUCAACCGGUCUCUAUCCAAGAGGUGACAGAUGAGGAGAUUCCUGUCACAUCUGUGAUCAGUGAAAAUGCUCGCACAAUUCAUACCCUGUCAUCAUGUACUGGCUUCUGCAAGGAUAUUUCUAGUUCCAGCAUCUGUCUCUAUGACUACCACAGUGGUUGUGUGUGGCGGUUGUCCGUCUCUCUCGACGACUUGUUCCAGUGUUUCCGAACGGCCUACUCAUCGACGCGGCAGGCUCUCUUCCAUUACUUACUGCUGAAAAGCAAGGACCUGUUCACUUUGAAAAAGGUUUUUGCUGACAUAUGUCAGGAUGCGACAAAUCCAGAAAUACCCACAGCAUUAGUCGAGUUUCUCAUUACAACAACCUACAGCAGCAUGAAACGUCAGCUCGGACGAGAAGUUCUUCGUCUGUUACCGUUUACAUCUGUGGAUACUUUUCGUGGACAGUUUGUCAAAGAUUCUGCAGGUGUUUUGUUUGCUCGGUUGUCCUACACAGCUCUUGGUAGUAUUAACUUCAGCACAAAGACAGCUAGGGACAGAAUGUCGAGGAAACACGAAGACAUUUGGGAUAUUCUUCGAAAACACUUGCGUCUCAAACAAAUCGAUGCUCCAAAACGCUUCUUGCAAGACAAGGUCAAAGGAACAUACACACAGCAUAUUAGGAAUGAAAAAAGAAGGUUAUCCUGGGAAUAUGUCAGCAAGGAACAGUCAUUCUUGGGACAUGUGACAGCAGGAUCAUGUAACAGGUCUGUGUUUGGGGAAUCCACAUUGACUGUUGCCGACAGUUUUCCUGGAAGACAGAGUCGUGCUGACACCGUGUUAGGGGCCGUUCCAGGUUUCCUAAAGGGGGGACUUGGAGAAGACAACACAGCAUUUAACAUAUUGCUAUCACUCACAGAGCAGAUGUUGACAGGCCACCUGACUCAUCACCUUAAGAAGGAUUCCAGAGUAAAAGCUCAGAAUGUGGCCAAGGAGUACGUCAGUUGUCAGGUGCAGCAGUCUCGACAGCUGUGUCACAUACUGUGGAGUGUUGCAGGAUUUACACCUGAGGAAUCCAUGCCAGACUUAAGUGAGCCUGGGUCUGAUGAGGAAUAUGAACUGUUUCAGCUCCUUGAGAGAUUCUAUCUUACAGUCACAGAAAAGUCUUUUCCCCUGCCUUCAGGUUUUCGGACAUAUUUUACAGCUCUGGGAUUUCGCUGUAUGCAGCUGAACUUGUUCCUUCAGUACGUUGAUCAUGGAGUUUUGGAGCUAACAGGAGAUUUUAUUUCUCAGCUUCUAACAGAUGUUCCUGAUGAUGGUGAUGAUGGUGAAAAUGUAAAACUCAAGUAUGCAAUCAUCUCUCGUCUACCUAAAACUGCAGCAGAAGAAUGCUUUAAGCUGUGGAAUCACCCUCUGUGUUUGAGAUAUUUCGCACAUCACCAGGUGGCCGAGAUCCUGCUUGAAACUACUUCGACACCAGCAGUAAAGUCCUCUUCUAAGUCAGAUGCUACAUGGACAGUUAAAGACAGAGGUGGGUGCUCAUGGCACAUGGAAUACUAGCAAAUUCAGAAGGUAGAGAUAACGUGAGCACAGCCAGUGAUUCGAGCGUUUGUGCAGGUGUCUUCCAACCACUGGCAUCUCUGAUCGAUUACCUGGAGAAGAAAACAGAAGAUAGCCACAGCAGAAACGUUC